UUUCAACAACGGAUCUCUUGGCUCUGGCAUCGAUGAAGAACGCAGCGAAAUGCGAUAAGUAAUGUGAAUUGCAGAAUUCAGUGAAUCAUCGAAUCUUUGAACGAACAUUGCGCCCGCCAGUAUUCUGGCGGGCAUGCCUGUUCGAGCGUCAUUAC
rnacentral:rRNA from 1 species